rnacentral:rRNA from 1 species
GUCGAGCGGUAACAUUUCUAGCUUGCUAGAAGAUGACGAGCGGCGGACGGGUGAGUAAUGCUUGGGAACAUGCCUUGAGGUGGGGGACAACCAUUGGAAACGAUGGCUAAUACCGCAUAAUGUCUACGGACCAAAGGGGGCUUCGGCUCUCGCCUUUAGAUUGGCCCAAGUGGGAUUAGCUAGUUGGUGAGGUAAAGGCUCACCAAGGCGACGAUCCCUAGCUGGUUUGAGAGGAUGAUCAGCCACACUGGAACUGAGACACGGUCCAGACUCCUACGGGAGGCAGCAGUGGGGAAUAUUGCACAAUGGGCGCAAGCCUGAUGCAGCCAUGCCGCGUGUGUGAAGAAGGCCUUCGGGUUGUAAAGCACUUUCAGUCAGGAGGAAAGGUUAGUAGUUAAUACCUGCUAGCUGUGACGUUACUGACAGAAGAAGCACCGGCUAACUCCGUGCCAGCAGCCGCGGUAAUACGGAGGGUGCGAGCGUUAAUCGGAAUUACUGGGCGUAAAGCGUACGCAGGCGGUUUGUUAAGCGAGAUGUGAAAGCCCCGGGCUUAACCUGGGAACUGCAUUUCGAACUGGCAAACUAGAGUGUGAUAGAGGGUGGUAGAAUUUC